GUUCCGCGGCACGCCCGGACUACAACUCCCGCCAUGCCCCUCGGUAGCCCGCCAGCUCGCUCCCUCAGGAGCUGCAGCCUCGGCCCGAGGCGGGCGCUGUGGCUGCGGGAGCCGGGCCCUUUCCCGGGUACCGGCGGGGUGCUGCGGUGCUGCCGCCGGUGAGAGGCCGUACGGAGGCGCGUCUCUGCGCAGAGAGCUACGUCCCAAAAGUUGUCACUAUCGUCAGCAGCUACUUGUCAGCAGAGCAACUGAAGUCUGUGGAAAAACUCGUUUCCUUUCUUUGCCAGAGGCCAGGCACCCAAAUGGGGUCUCUGAACAAAAUGAAUUUCAUUACAAGACUUUCUGCUUUAUGUCUGAGGAAAAGUAAGACACCAAAGUCUUGCAAUAGGCACCAAAGUAGUAGACGACCAGCUGUUCCACUUGGAUCACGGAUUUUAACUGAUCCUUCUAAGGUUUUUGAGCAUAACAUGUGGGACCACAUGCAGUGGUCACAAGAAGAAGAGGAGAAUGCCAAGGAAAAAGCAGCAGAGAACUCACUGGUGAAAGUCCAAUGGGAAGAUCAGGAUAAAUAUGAGAGAGAAGCCAGUAAAUAUUGGAAUGAAUUUUACAAAACUCAUAAAAAUAACUUUUUCAAGGAUCGCAAUUGGCUGUUUCUGGAGUUUCCAGAAAUUCUUCCAGAAAAAAGGAGAGAAGAGUUGAAAACAGAAGCAAGAUCUUCAGAAUGCACAAAAAUAAAUAGUGCCGACAGGUUUUCGCACAAAAACGAAGUGUUUGAGGAAGGGGAAAAAUAUUGGAAGAAAAAUGAUGGAGGUGGUUCUACUUCUGUACAAGGACAUGUAUAUAAUAAAAAUGAAGCAAAAUCUCUUACUGACAAUCCUCAGGUUAAAAACUGUGGAGAAGAACUUGGCGGACUGGAAUCCUUCCCUGGUAGCGAUGCCACUUACAGAAUAUUAGAGGUUGGUUGUGGUGCUGGAAACAGUGUCUUUCCUAUUUUGAAAGUUCUAUGCAAUACACCUGGAACCUUUCUGUACUGUUGUGAUUUUGCUUCAGGAGCAGUGGAGCUGGUAAAGUCACAUUCGUCCUACAAUUCAGCCUGGUGUUCUGCCUUUGUUCAUGAUGUGUGUGAUGAUGCUUUACCCUAUCCUUUUCCAGACGAGAUCCUGGAUGUCAUUCUCCUUGUCUUUGUGCUCUCUACUAUUCAUCCUGACAGGAUGCAAGGGGUUGUAAAUAGGUUGGCUAAACUACUGAAACCUGGAGGAAUGUUGUUAUUUCGAGACUAUGGAAGAUAUGAUACAGCUCAACUUCGUUUUAAAAAAGGUCAUUGCUUGUCAGAAAAUUUUUAUGUACGAGGCGAUGGAACCAGAGUAUAUUUCUUUACCAAAGGUGAGGUGUGGAACAUGUUCAACUUGGCUGGAUUAACUGAAGUACAGAAUUUAGUUGAUCGGCGACUACAAGUAAACAGGAAGAAAAAAGUGAAAAUGCAGCGAGUUUGGAUACAAAGCAAGUUCCAAAAACCAUUGCUGCUAUCUCUGAAUAACCCUGAAGAAACAACAGAAAGAUAGAUAAUGUACCAUGAAUGCCAGAAACUGAAGCAAAUUUGAGGGGAAAUUUCUUAGUGCAUAAACAAUGAAGACAAAAUCUCUUUCUGAUUUGCAUCAAAGCCAAGGCAGGUGCUUGUGCUGUAUCUACAAAUCCACUGCAUCUGAAGAGGACAACCAAAAUGCAGGACAGACAGGGAGACUGCAGGAACUCUAAUGACACUAGGGAAAAGUUUCUUGUGUUGGAAACGACUGUUUCUGUUUUGUCUUGUGCUUGUCCUUUGCUUGCGACUUGGCUAACCUGCAGAUUCUGCUGUUUAAUAAUGACUAAGAAUUUGUAACAAACUGUCCUGAAAUUUGUAUGAAACACCAGUGGAAAUCACUUAACAUAAAUUUUGCAACUUCA